rnacentral:rRNA from 1 species
UACGUAGGUGGCGAGCGUUGUCCGGAUUUAUUGGGCGUAAAGCGCGCGCAGGCGGUCGCGUAAGUCUGCUGUGAAAUCUCCCUGGCUCAACCGGGAGGGGGCGGCGGAAUUCCGGGUGUAGCGGUGAAAUGCGUAGAUAUCCGGAGGAACACCGAUGGCGAAGGCAACCGCCUGGGCCUGUACUGACGCUGAGACACGAAAGCGUGGGGAGCAAACAGG